rnacentral:tRNA from 1 species
GGGCGAAUAGCUCAGUCGGGAGAGCAUCUGCCUUACAAGCAGAAGGUCACAGGUUCGAGCCCUGUUUCGCCCACCA